CGGCGGACGGGUGAGUAACACGUGGAUAACCUACCUAUAAGACUGGGAUAACUUCGGGAAACCGGAGCUAAUACCGGAUAAUAUAUUGAACCGCAUGGUUCAAUAGUGAAAGACGGUUUUGCUGUCACUUAUAGAUGGAUCCGCGCCGCAUUAGCUAGUUGGUAAGGUAACGGCUUACCAAGGCACGAUGCGUAGCCGAACUGAGAGGGUGAUCGGCCACACUGGAACUGAGACACGGUCCAG
rnacentral:rRNA from 1 species